rnacentral:rRNA from 1 species
UAUAAAAUAAUUUAUACAUUUAGUCCUUACAUUUUAAAUUUUUAUUAAUUAAAAAUAUAUUUUCAUUAUUAGUUAUUAAAAAAUAAAUUAAAUUUAUAAUUAAUUAUAAUUGGCAAUAAAAACUUAAAUAAAAAAAAGUAAAAUAAUUAUUUUAUACCUUUUGUAUCAGGGAUUAUCAAAUUAAAUUUUAAAUAAAAUUUUCUCGAAAUAAAAAAAUUUAAAAUUUUAAUUUUAUUAAUAUACCAAUAUUAAAUAAAAUAAAAUUUUAGAAAUUAUAAAUUAAUCAAUUUUUAUUAUAUCUAGUUAUUUAAGAAAUGAAUUUAAUUCAUAUACUUAAAAUUUUGAUUUAUUAAUAAAUACUUAAGUAUAAAAAAUUUUAGGGAUAAACUUAAAAUUUUUAUUAUAAUUAAUAACUUAAAUUUUAAAAUAUAAAAUUUAAAAUUUUUACUAUUAAAAAAAAAUUAAUAAUUUAUUUAUAUAUUAAAUAAUUAAUUUAUAAUAAUUUAAAAAAAUAUUAAAUUAAUUUUUAAAACAUAAUUUAAAAUAAAAUAAUGAUAAUAUUAGUAAAUUUUAAAUUUAAUAAUAAAAAUAUUAUUAAUAUAUUAAAUUAAGGAACUCGGCAAAUUUAAUAUUCACCUGUUUAACAAAAACAUGUCUUUUUGAUAUUAAUUUAAAGUCUAAUCUGCUCAAUGAAAUUUAAAUAGCUGCAGUAUCAAUAACUGUACAAAGGUAGCAUAAUAAUUAGAUUUUUAAUUAAAAUCUAGAAUGAAUGAUUGAAUGAAAUAUUUACUGUCUUAAUUUAAUUACCAUUAAAUUUAAUUUUUAAGUUAAAAAUCUUAAAUAUUUUUAAAAGACGAGAAGACCCCAUAGAAUUUAAUAUUAUUUUAUUUAAUAAUAAAUAAAUAUUACCAUAUUAAUUAAAUUUAAUAUUUAAUUGGGGAAAUUUAAAAAUUUAAUAAACUUUUUAUUUAUUUAGUAACAUAAAUUUAUGAACCGUUAAUCUUUUAUUAAAAAUUAAAAAAAAUAAUUACCUUGGGGAUAACAGCAUAAUUUUUUUUUAAAGUCCAAAUUAAAAAAAAAGUUUAUGACCUCGAUGUUGAAUUAAGAAUAAUUAAGAAGAAAAAAUCUUAAAAUUUAAGUCUGUUCGACUUUUAAAUUCUUACAUGAUUUGAGUUAAGAUCGGCGUAAGCCAGAUCGGAUUCUAUCUUUAAAAUAUAAUAAAUAUUUUUGUACGAAAGGAAUAAAUAUUUAAAAUAAUUUUUAAAUUUUAAAUAAAUAUAA